GCAGGAUCACAUCCAAGAGUACUCCAAGGCGAACAUCGCGUUCCAUCAGGCGCUGAUUUCGCUGAGCGAGUCGCAGGUUUUGGUCGAUAUGACCAAUGACAUUCUGUUGCACGUGCGCGGCUACCGGCAGGUGACGAUCGGCCGGGGAGGAAGCGCCGGAACAUCUUGCCAUCAUCGAAGCGCUCGAGGAGCGCGAUACCGAGCUCGCUGAAAAGCGCGCCCGCGACCAUACGCUUGGGCUUGCGACUUACGUCGAAACCCACGGACAGGAAAUCUUUACGUAGACCAAACGACCAAAAAAAGAGACUAGGGAGGCCACCGAUGCUGACGGCAGCGAGUAAGUUAGAGG
rnacentral:misc_RNA from 1 species